GACGAACGCUGGCGGCGUGCCUAAUACAUGCAAGUAGAACGCUGAAGAGAGGAGCUUGCUCUUCUUGGAUGAGUUGCGAACGGGUGAGUAACGCGUAGGUAGCCUGCCUUGUAGCGGGGGAUAACUAUUGGAAACGAUAGCUAAUACCGCAUAACAAUGGAUGACACAUGUCAUUUAUUUGAAAGGGGCAAUUGCUCCACUACAAGAUGGACCUGCGUUGUAUUAGCUAGUAGGUGAGGUAAUGGCCCACCUAGGCGACGAUACAUAGCCGACCUGAGAGGGUGAUCGGCCACACUGGGACUGAGACACGGCCCAGACUCCUACGGGAGGCAGCAGUAGGGAAUCUUCGGCAAUGGGGGCAACCCUGACCGAGCAACGCCGCGUGAGUGAAGAAGGUUUUCGGAUCGUAAAGUUCUGUUGUAAGUCAAGAACGGGUGUGAGAGUGGAAAGUUCACAAUGUGACGGUAGCUUACCAGAAAGGGACGGCUAACUACGUG
rnacentral:rRNA from 1 species